AUUUCUGCCUACAUCGCCCAGUGAGCAGUGAGCUGAGCAAGUGGCGAUUGAAUAUGACGUUCCAUUUUGUUCUAUAAAGGCCCUCCCCUUUCUUCGUCACGUCCUCUUUCAAUUUGGUGUCUUCGCUGUAGAGGUAAGAAACAUUGAAUUAUGUCCCAGAACAAAUCCAACUGAAUCACUAGUAAUUGUUUGCCAUCCAUUACAUACAACAACUGUGUUAUCUUUAAUUGCAGGCACAUCUCCACAAGAUGAGAGCAAAGUGGAGGAAGAAGCGUAUGCGCAGGCUGAAGCGUAAAAGGCGAAAGAUGAGGCAGAGGUCCAAGUAGACUGGCCCAUUCCCCUACUGCUGUGAUUGUUUUUCUCCACCCACUCCAAGCCCUCUGAAGCCAGCGGUCCAUGAUUUGAAGAGCUGAACCAUGGUGGUCUGAAGCUGGCCUCGUUGGUGUGAAGGACAGAUUCUGCCUACCCAGCCCUCUACUCUGCCAAUGGCUCCUGGCCGUUGACUUCUGCUAGAAUCUCUCCUGUCAUUAAACUCUGGCCUUUUACCACCUGCACAGCUGUUGUAAAGACCAUAAUAAAUAUUUGGUUUACUAACUACAUUACAGUCUCUGUAAACAUUGAUUCAGGUUCAAAUCUUAUUUUAUUGAUCACACACAUUUAGUAGAUAUUGCGGGUGUGGUGAAAUUCUUAUCUUUCGGUCCACCCAACUUGCACUUAAUGCUUUUGAUAAUGUUGGAAACUAAUAUCUGGGGAACCAGUUGAUGCUUUUGAGUCCCCGUUGCAGUACAAUUUGGUUUACAUUUGUACAGCUGUAGACUUAACUGCCCUGGGGAUCAGUAAUAUAGUUGAGGUUCCGGUUUAACUAAGUUCCUGAACAGUGGUUUUCCAGCGUGCCAAGUUCUGAGGUCGGGUGAUCUGAUGCAGUACUCCCCUCUUCCUGGUGAAAUAGCCCUUACACAACCUGGAAGUGUGUGUUGGUUAAUUGUCCUGUUGAAAAACAGUCCCA
ensembl:lncRNA